rnacentral:rRNA from 1 species
AUUGAACGCUAGCGGCAGGCCUAAUACAUGCAAGUCGAACGGCAGCACGGUGUAGCAAUACAUUGGUGGCGAGUGGCGCACGGGUGCAUAACACGUAUGUAAUUUGCCCAUAACUGGGAGAUAGCCUUCCGAAAGGAAGAUUAAUACCCCAUAACCCAGCGAGGUGGCAUCACUUUUCUGGUAAAGCUCCGGCGGUUAUGGAUAAGCAUGCGUCCGAUUAGCUAGUUGGCGAGGUAAAAGCUCACCAAGGCAACGAUCGGUAGGGGGUCUGAGAGGAUGAUCAGCCACACGGGAACUGAGAAACGGUCCCGACUCCUACGGGGGGCAGCAGUGAGGAAUAUUGGGCAAUGGACGAAAGUCUGACCCAGCAACGCCGCGUGGAGGAUGAAGGUUUUUGGAUUGUAAACUCCUUUUGUGGGGGAAGAGUGAGGACGGUACCCCAAGAAUAAGUC